rnacentral:rRNA from 1 species
UACGGAGGGGGCUAGCGUUGUUCGGAAUUACUGGGCGUAAAGCGCACGUAGGCGGAUCUGCAAGUCAGAGGUGAAAUCCCAGGGCUCAACCUUGGAACUGCCUUUGAUACUGCGGGUCUUGAGUUCGAGAGAGGUGAGUGGAAUUCCGAGUGUAGAGGUGAAAUUCGUAGAUAUUCGGAGGAACACCAGUGGCGAAGGCGGCUCACCGGAUCGAUACUGACGCUGAGGUGCGAAAGCGUGGGGAGCAAACAGG